UCUACGGGGGGCAGCAGUAGGGAAUUUUCGGCAAUGGGGGGAACCCUGACCGAGCAACGCCGCGUGAACGAAGAAGUUAUUCGUAAUGUAAAGUUCUUUUAACAGGGAAGAAAGAGAAAUUUGACGGUACCUGAAGAAUAAGCUCCGGCUAACUACGUGCCAGCAGCCGCGGUAAUACGUAGGGAGCGAGCGUUAUCCGGAAUUAUUGGGCGUAAAGGGUGCGUAGAUGGCAUAGUAAGUCUUUUGUAAAAAUGCUGGGCUCAACCCAGUAGGGCAAAAGAUACUGCAAAGUUAGAGUAUGACAGAGGCAAGUGGAACUACAUGUGUAGCGGUAAAAUGCGUAAAUAUAUGUAAGAACCCCAGUGGCGAAGGCGGCUUACUGGACUGUAACUGACGUUGAGGCUCGAAGGCGUGGGGAGCAAACAGGAUUAGAUACCCUGGUAGUC
rnacentral:rRNA from 1 species